UACGUAGGGUGCAAGCGUUGUCCGGAAUUAUUGGGCGUAAAGAGCUCGUAGGCGGUCUGUCGCGUCGGAUGUGAAAACCCGGGGCUUAACCCCGGGCCUGCAUUCGAUACGGGCAGACUCGAGUGUGGUAGGGGAGACUGGAAUUCCUGGUGUAGCGGUGAAAUGCGCAGAUAUCAGGAGGAACACCGGUGGCGAAGGCGGGUCUCUGGGCCGAAACUGACGCUGAGGAGCGAAAGCGUGGGGAGCAAACAGG
rnacentral:rRNA from 1 species